rnacentral:rRNA from 1 species
UGAAUACGAGAUGCUACGGCGUCGAAGCAGUGUAUGUCAGACUUCCAAGAAAAGCUCGCAAUGUCAUAAAUAAAGAAUGCCUGUACCAUAACCGACACAGGUGGGUAGGUAGAGUAUACUAAGGGGCGCGAGAUAACUCUCUCUAAGGAACUCGGCAAAAUAACUCCGUAACUUCGGGAGAAGGAGUGCCUUCUUUAAGAAGGUUGCAAUAACAAGAUCCAAGCAACUGUUUAUCAAAAACACAGGUCUCCGCUAAGUCGUAAGACGAUGUAUGGGGGCUGACGCCUGCCCAGUGCCAGAAGGUUAAAGAAGUUGGUUAGCUUUUGCGAAGCUGAUGACUGAAGCCCUGGUGAACGGCGGCCGUAACUAUAACGGUCCUAAGGUAGCGAAAUUCCUUGUCGGGUAAGUUCCGACCCGCACGAAAGGCGUAAUGAUUUGGAUACUGUCUCGGAGAGGGACUCGGUGAAAUAGACUUGUCUGUGAAGAUGCGGACUACCUGCACCAGGACAGAAAGACCCUAUGAAGCUUUACUGUAACUUGAAAUUGAAAUUGGACUUUAUUUGCGCAGUAUAGGUGGAAGGCGUUGAAAGUAAUCUUGCGGGAUUAGUGGAGCCAUCAGUGAGAUACCACUCCUAUAAUGUUAGAUUUCUAACUUUGGAUCAUGAUCUGGUCAAAGAACAGUUUCAGGCGGGCAGUUUGACUGGGGCGGUCGCCUCCCAAAUGGUAACGGAGGCGUACAAAGGUUUCCUCUGAACGGGUAGAAAUCGUAUCUAGAGUGUAAAGGCAUAAGGAAGCUUGACUGUGAGACCUACAAGUCGAGCAGGGACGAAAGUCGGUCUUAGUGAUCUGACGGUGCUGAGUGGAAAGGCCGUCACUCAACGGAUAAAAGUUACUCUAAGGAUAACAGGCUGAUCUCCCCCAAGAGUUCACAUCGACGGGGAGGUUUGGCACCUCGAUGUCGGCUCAUCGCAUCCUGGGGCGGUAGUACGUCCCAAGGGUUGGGCUGUUCGCCCAUGAAAGCGGUACGCGAGCUGGGUUCAGAACGUCGUGAGACAGUUCGGUCCAUAUCCGGUGUAGGCGUUAGAAUAUUGAGAGGAGCCUUCUUUAGUCCGAGAGGACCGAGAAGGACAUACCUCUGGUGUACCAGUUAUCGUGCCAACGGUAAACGCUGGGUAGCUAUGUAUGGAGAGGAUAACCGCUGAAAGCAUCUAAGUGGGAAGCCCACCUCAAGAUGAG